rnacentral:lncRNA from 1 species
GUUUGGCCAAGUAGGGGCCUGAGGAUUAGGGAGACACAGAUGGAGAGAAACAAAGACCUUAGAAGCUGAAGGGGAAGCUGGGAGGGAUGCCCAGGAGAGAGAGUCCUCAGGAAAAGGCCCCAGAGGAUGAAGCGGAUCCCAAACGGCAGAAGACAGAAAAUGGGGCAUCGGCGUGAGCCCCUGCCAACAGGCUGGGGUUGGGAGGCCUCUCUGGGCCUGGAGGUGGGGGUGGGGGCAGCCAAGUCCAGCCACUCUUCACCUGGCUCCCUGCUCUGGGCCCUGCACCAGAGCUGCCACCCUCUUCUUUCUCCCCAGCCUUCUCAUUUCCGCCUCUCCAGACACUGCGCCCUCCACCCUCACUCUGCCAUUGUUCCACCUCCUGACCUGCUCCAUCUGAGCUCUCCAGCUGGCCCCCAAUUGCUCCUCUCUCUCUUUGCUCUCUUUCUCCCUCCCCUACCAGCCUCAUUCUUCCUCCGGUAGCCUCUCCCACCUAACCUCUGCAUCCCCCAGCCUCAUGUCCUGCCCCAUCCCUAUCCUGCCUGAUCCCUGGAUCUCCCUCAGAUCCCCUCUUCUCAGACAGCGCCAGGCCGGGGUGGGGCCGGGGUUGGGGCCGAGCCCCACAGCUGCCCCCCUCCCCUCCCUUUUUGUAUAAUUUAAUAAAGAAAUGGUCGCGCUUCUGUUUUU